rnacentral:lncRNA from 1 species
CCUUCCUUUCUUUUUCUUUUUUUGUUAUCCCUUCUUUUUUUUCUUUCUCUUUUCUUUCUUCCUUCUUUCUUUUUUUUCUUCUUCCUUCCUUUCUAUUUUUUUGUUUUUGUUUUUCUUCUUUUCUUUCACUUUUUCUCUUUUUUUUAUCUUUCAUUCAUUCUUUCUUCUUUCUUUUUCUUUCCUUAUAUGGAUGGGUUUUGGAGUUCUCCUUGUAAUGA